rnacentral:rRNA from 1 species
UACAGAGGGUGCAAGCGUUGUUCGGAAUUAUUGGGCGUAAAGAGCUCGUAGGCGGUUUGUUGCGUCGGCUGUGAAAUCCCGAGGCUCAACCUCGGGUCUGCAGUCGAUACGAGCAAACUAGAGUGUUGCAGGGGAGACUGGAAUUCCUGGUGUAGCGGUGAAAUGCGCAGAUAUCAGGAGGAACACCGGUGGCGAAGGCGGGUCUCUGGGCAACAACUGACGCUGAGUGAGCGAAAGCGUGGGGAGCGAACAGG